UGAUGAGAGGGACAGUCUCAGCAAAAGCCUGUGAUUCCAGCACUUGGGAGGCAGAGGCAGGAGGAUCACUGUGAAUUUAGAUUCCAGCUAGAGUUAGUGAACACACACACACACACACACACACACACACACACACACACACACACACAAGAGAGAGAAAGGGAAAGAGAAAGAGAGAGACAGAGACAGAGAGAGAGAGAGAGAAGGGGGCAUAUUUUCUGUGGGAGCAGAAGUAGCUAGGCCAAGAGAGGGGUGGGGGAAAUCUGAGAAUAGAGAGAAUAUUCCAAGCUGGGAAAAUGGUCUGUGAAAGGUUGAGAUGUGUGAGACGAGAUGACAAACCCUGCUUCCUGGGUUAGCAGGAAGCAGAACAACACAGUAUGGCGGAAGCUAACACAAUGGUGGGAAGUGUCCAGCAGCCUUGGAGAAGAUGCUGGGGCAGAAGAAACACCCUGAAGGGAAAGAGUCAACCAAUUCUGGGGCAGGCGACAGCCAGGGUGAUGUGGCUGGUUCCCAAGCCAGUGAUGGAGUCACUUGGGGCAGCACAGGGGAAGUCAGGAUGGGAAGUGGGGGUCAGGAGGAUGUGGGGAGAGCUGGGUAAGCACAGUUACCCAUGCUGAGGUGGCUGUGUGUGAGGAAGGAGUAGGUAUGCAUGCCGGUGUGAGGAGUGGCAAGCUGAGGCCUCUGGCUCUGUCACGGUGCUGGUUGCCAUGUUCUGAGACCUCUCUGCUCCACACCCUCUUUCUCUCUCUUCUCUGCAUGUUAAUUAAUUAAUUAGGGAUGCAAAUCAUUCAUUUGAUUCCAUUCUAUUCCCAGCAGAAUGCAAAUCUCAGGAAGGCAGCGAUUUUAUCCACCAUGUUCACGCUGUAUUUCCAACCUACGGCGCACAGCCUAGCACAUAGAGGAAGCUGGAAGGUGGGAAAGAAGAGGUGUGGAGCUAGCUGCAUCUGGCCCAGACUCCAGUUCUGAUGCCUAUUUGCUGUGUGGUCCCAUGCAGGGAUUUGACCUCUCUGGGCUCAGCCUCAUCUGUAAGUGGGAAGGGGGCUGUCUCUUAUCCCCAGUAUGUGUCGUUUCCUUCCAAGUGUAUCGUUCAGGUCUUGGCAUCAGUUUCUCUCCCCUCCAGGAAGGUGUAAUCUCGCACUUAAGUAAGUGGCCACGGAUACCGAGGCCUGUUUUGUCUCCACUGUGCUGAUUGUUGCAGACUGACACACUCUCAGUCACGAUCUGAAGUAUCUCCUGCCUGACUUUCUUCUCUGGAUGUCAAAUCCUGUCUCUUGUCCCUUGUGGAAGCCCUGGCACCUAGAAGUUACUAGAGCAUGGAGUUGUUGAGUGACUACUUUCAGGAUGUGUGAAGUGUGCUGUGGUCACUAGGACUGGGCAGAGUGUCCAAGGCAUUCAGAAGUCGAGAUCCAGGGCCAGACUAUGGCCACACUGGGGUGUGGUGGAUGCCAUUCAUGGGGCUCCUGAGACAGGAAGGCCCAGGCAGGGCAGUUUUCUCAGGGCUGGGAAAAGGAGAUGCUUAGAGACAAGAAGUCUUCCCUAGCAAACCUUGGUGGGGGGGGGGGUGCUGGGGCAAUGGCCACCCAGCUUAUGACCAAGGGUGUGAUUUGUUCUGAGCUCGAGGACAUCAGAAAGCUGAGCUCUGCUAUGGGGGUGUCCAUGACAAGAAGCCCUGCAGAGAGGUUGCUUCUCUCUUGGGGACUGCCACCCCUAGCCAGAGCCAUGAAUCAUAGCCUGAGGGAGGGUGUGGGAUUCCCCAGGAGCUGAGCCACCCAUGAAAAUCAUGAAAGAAAAUUAAUAACAUAGUUACAGAGGAGAAAAAUUUAAAUCCAAAGGGCACAUGGUGGGGCAGGGGGUGGCAGGGAGAGCAAAGGGCAGCCAGGGCUAGAGCACAAGGGAUAAGGAGGAGGAGGGAGAGGAGGAGGGAGAGGAGGAGAAAGAGGAGGAGAAAGGAGAGAGUGGAGGAGAAAGAGGAGGAAGAAGAGAAGCAGUAGGAGGAAGAGGGAGAGGAGGAGAAAGAGGAGGAGAAAGAGGAGGAAGAAGAGAAGCAGUAGGAGGAGGAGGGAGAGGAGGAGGAGAAGAAGAAGAAAAAGAAGGAGGAGGAAGAGGCCACUGUGGGCAGAGAAGAUGAGACACAGAAGUAUUGACAGCUCAGUGUGUAAAGGCAGCUGCUGCUAUGCCUGACUACUCGAGUUUGAUUCCCCAGGACCCAAUCAGUAGAAGGAGUGAGCAGCUGCCACAGGAGAAGUAUCUGGGUGAGCAGAUUGGGAGAGGACAGGGAUAGUCCUGAUUGGUCGACUGACCAGCUACCCACCUCAUGGGCCUUCUUCUUCCUCUGCCCUUUCUCCUGGGUGUCUCUAGAUCAGGGCCUUUGGAUCAGCAUUGUCUGCCAGGGAUCUUCAUAUUCAGAAGUUAGCUCAUUCCCUAGUUCCUACAGGUAUCUGUUCAGAAAACAACCAUCUAGUAAAGGCUGCCCAACUGCCUCACAGCCCCCACACCCCUUCCCAUAAGACUUUAUUUCCUUAGCUAAAUGUUAGGUCCUGGGCUGGACUGUGUUAUGAUCUCUGCCUCUUGUAAAGUGUCUGGCACACAGAGGGUGCUCAAUAAACACACACAGACCCAACUGGUAAAGCCCUGGGUCUGUAGGGAGGGAAGUGAGGGAUGAGCAUCAUGGGAGAAGAAGGUUUUGGAGCUUUUUGGCAGGGUGGGGCCUAUCUAGUGGCAAGAAAGUAAGAGCAAAGGUGACCUUGCCAACGGAUCUCAGAUCUUGCAGGUGGUUACUGCUGGAGUGGCAGGGAUGGGUAUCACAUGGACUGGGGGUGCGGCCCUUGCAGAUCAGACUGUGAUCUUAAUGCCUCCUAGCAGUGAGACCCCAGGAUGGUGACAACUUCCCACCCUGUCUGAAAAGUGGGGCAGUGUUGACUGCCUGGAGGUACUUGUUCUGAUAAUUAAAUAAAAUAACGUGAAAGCGCACUUGCCGUCCUCCCAUGGUAAGUCCUGAAUAAAUAUUAGCUGCGUGUUAAGUUCCCAUCGGUAGUGCUCUGAAUAAAACACGACAGUGGGAGAGAUGUGGUCCCCGCGCAGAAGUCACAUAGCCCAGUGCCACUCAGCAUAAUGUGGGAGACAGCAUGUAAGCAAGGGAAGGAGGGAGGAGGCAGGCCCGGCCCUCCAUCCCCUCAGAGGGUAAGAAGCUCCACUUGGGGUUUCACAAAGGGGCCUUGAGGAACGAGCAACCACAAGCCAGAUGAUGGCAUAGGAAAGCCAAGGGUCCCUGGAAAGAGUCUUUAGGCAGAGGGCCUCGAAGUUACAUGACACAGGACAGAGAACUGAAGUCGGCCGAGCCCAUCAGGACAUGAGGCAGUGGGUGUCUGCCUCCCGGACAGACCUUCCCAGAGGCAGAUGCUAAGCAAUCGACCACACAGCCGGCAGCGUGGAGAGUGGGUGGAAGCUAUAGAUGAUUCCCCAAAGUGCCAGGAGGGACUGGGGCUAGGGGGAGGGGCAAGAGACAAGGGAGGCCAUAGAUGCAGCCUGGUGUCUACUGUGUGCCAAGCUCAAGGAAGAACAAGAUGAAGGGUUGAGGUCCACGGGCAAGGUGGGUGACAGUGCACAGUGCGGAAGGCCUUAGAGGGUUCUGAGUCAGGCAAAGAUCAUUCUCUGGGCCUUGGACACCAGGGAAUGAGGUACUGAUACCCUGAGUUGUAGAUCCAAAGGCCGCAAGAAAGCGGUAGGCUGCUCGUCGAUUCAGAUGUCCCUACGGGCUCCCUUCUCGUUCUCCAGUCCUCUGAGGCUGGGACAGGGGGUUCUACGAGAGUCUGUCUUCACUGUUAGCCAGAUUUAGAAUCAGUAAGGAGGUUGAGGCACACCUGUGAGCACGUGUGGUGAAAAUCUCCCAAAGAGGACCAACUGCGUGGGAGGGACCCUCAAUGAAUGCUGGCAUCAUCAUCCCAUGUGCUGAUGGCCUGGAGAGAAUAAGAGAGAAGCGAGGAAAGCCCACGGAGCGCUGGCCUCCCUCUUUCCUGGUCUGCAUCAUGUGAACUAGCCGCCGCCUCACCUCCGAUGGGAUGGCCAUGGUGGGGAGGUCCCCCUGUCACACCCUCCCUCCUGAUGGAUUGAAAUCGUGUGCAAACAAACCUUUCUCUCCUUCAGC
rnacentral:lncRNA from 1 species